CGGCCUGGCAGGUUAUCUUCCAGCUCCGAUUCUUCCGACAGUCAAGUUGAAGAGGAUGAAUCAGAGGAAGAAAGCAGCACAGACAUUAGUACUUCUGAAUCAGAUGAGUCGUCGAUCUCAUCACAAAGCUCCUCUGAAUCGGACGAUUCUAAUUCUGAAUCUUCUGAAACUGAUUCCUCGCCUUCUCCGCCAAGUAGCGCUUCCGAAUGAAAUCCAGUAGCAGCGCCGCUAGGUGAGAAAAAUUAGCAAAGAAUGAAAUUUAUGCGGGACAAGUGAAAUAAAAGCC